UCUGGCUCAGGGCGAACGCUGGCGGCAGGCUUAACACAUGCAAGUCGAGCGCCUCGCAAGAGGAGCGGCAGACGGGUGAGUAACGCGUGGGAAUCUACCCAUCUCUACGGAACAACUCCGGGAAACUGGAGCUAAUACCGUAUACGUCCUUCGGGAGAAAGAUUUAUCGGAGAUGGAUGAGCCCGCGUUGGAUUAGCUAGUUGGUGGGGUAAUGGCCUACCAAGGCGACGAUCCAUAGCUGGUCUGAGAGGAUGAUCAGCCACAUUGGGACUGAGACACGGCCCAAACUCCUACGGGAGGCAGCAGUGGGGAAUAUUGGACAAUGGGCGAAAGCCUGAUCCAGCCAUGCCGCGUGAGUGAUGAAGGCCCUAGGGUUGUAAAGCUCUUUCAACGGUGAAGAUAAUGAC
rnacentral:rRNA from 1 species